rnacentral:tRNA from 7 species
UCCUCUGUAGUUCAGUCGGUAGAACGACGGACUGUUAAUCCGUAUGUCACUGGUUCGAGUCCAGUCAGAGGAGCCA